UGAAUGGCGCUUUUUAGCGCCAUUUUUAUGCUCAAAAAGUUAAAAG
rfam:Pseudoalteromonas sp. P1-25 AN393_contig000050, whole genome shotgun sequence.